rnacentral:lncRNA from 1 species
GGAAAAGAGAGAAAAAAAGCUUCCAACGGUAACAUGGAAAAGAAAUAAAUAAAAGGACACGUUAUCCCUCUCUCUUUUCUCCGAGACUCUCACUCCAUUCAGUACCUCACCCUCUCAUAUCACUCACUUUCCACAAUGAAAAAGAAGAAACAAAAAGAAAAAGUCUCUCCUUUUCACGUUGGGGGAACCUCCUUCGUCUUCCUCAACAGCUCUCACCACCAUAAACCACUGGCGAAACGCUCCAACAACACAAACCUUUCACCGUAACGUCGCUCCUUCAUUUUCCUAUUUAAAAUCCAACAACCAUACCCCACAACCUCAAUCUUCCUCAUCCAUUGCCGACCGUCAUCAACCGCCACAGCCGCCAACAAUCCAACAACCAUACCCCACAACCUCAAUCUUCCUCAUCCAUUGCCGACCGUCAUCAACCGCCACAGCCGCCAACAUCUACACCGCGCUCACCAUCUCCAGCCGCGCGUUCUUCCUCACCAUCUGUCGACCACCGAAUCGCCGGCAAAACCUCUCAACAUAACCGCUCAACACCCUUCUUCUCCACUUCGACCGUCGAAAUACUCCUCCGAUUCACCUAACAUCUUCCAUCACUUUAACAAGCGUAAUCUCACUGUGAGCAACUCCACUCAGCCGCUCCUUUCCUUCAACAGAAGCUAAAGUCAUCUUCUCCAAUUCAACACUGUUUUUUGUUUUGCUUUCAAAAUUGGGAAGGUUAUAUUUUUUUAUUCUGCUUGGGUGUUAUCUCUUUUCUGCAGGUUGAGUUUAAUUUACUAACCUGAUCGGGAUACCGCAAGGAUGUGAUUCAAUUAGAUGUCGCGAUGUACACGUUUCAGUUAUGAUUUGUUCCUCUUUGGAUCGCCGCUUCGGUUACGGUACCAAGUUUAUUACAUUUCUCAUAAUUCAUAUAUAUCUUGUGAUAAGCUAAAAGUUGUGAUUGAAUUACAAAGUCAAAACUUGUGCAGAAUGAGCAUCCUGCUGCUGUGGAACAAUAGAAAUAUUUUGUUUUAAUUUUAGUAUAUAUUUUAAAAUUGGCUCUGCACUAUUACUGUUAAAUUUGUGCAGAAUGAAGUUCCAUCCCUGUUUUAAAAGUGAUCAAACCAACAUAUAAAACAUUGUUAAAUUAAUGAAACAUUUUCUUAUGAAUUUUUUAUGAUAUUCUCUUUAUCAAGUAUCAGUGCUAGCAUCGGUGAGGUCGCCGAAAUAUCAUUGUUUUCCUUUGAUAAAAUGUUGAUGUUGCUGCUCCGAAUGAGUCUGAGUUGUCGUCUACGGCACUAGUUAUUUUUUUGGAUCAGUGAUGACAUAUCCAUUGUUACGGUACAAAUCAAUUUAAAUUUGUGGCAUAACGUUGAAUCUUUCAUUUUCAUAACAGUACUGGAUAUAUUUGGGAUAGGUUGUGUUUGGGGUAAUUUUUUGGUUCCAUCUUAGAUAUGUAUUCAUUUUGCUUUGAACUCUGCAUUGCUUAUCUUAGUUAUCCUUCUGUAGUAGGAUGUACCAGUAAUUUUCUUUUCUUUUCUUGAAGUGGCUUUACUUGGUUUUUUUUUUCGGUUGCAAUUACUAUUCAUUUUCAAUUCAAAUUAUUCAGUGAUUGGUAUUAUGUUUGUAUGUUGGAAUUCUAGUAAUCCUGUAAAUAAUCAUAAUGUGUUCUAUUUUUCCUUUGCACUAUAUUAUAUCUAUUUCGGUUUCAACUUGAUUACUUUGCGUAUCGGCUACAUUAUGCGUUUCAAUCACGAAUGCUUGUAUGUCAAAGUUUUGUUUUGAGUUAUAUGUUGGAUUUUUAAUGACAUGGUAAUGAUCCUGUAAUUAUGAUAAUUACGCGUUCUAUUUUACACUGUAUUGUGAGUUUUGAUUACAUAUGUGUUUCGAUUGCGUAUCCAUUUCGGUUAUAGUUUUGUAAAUUACUGAUAAUUCUCUUUUGUUGAUUCUGUUAACUCUAUUUUUUACAAGAUGAUUAAGUGAUUGUUGUUCCCACUUGUUUAACUGAUAUGGUGAACUAAGUGUAUAACUUACAGGAUAUUUUUAUGCUUGUAAUGCUAUCCAUAGUUUUGACAAUGUUGAAAUUUUGUGCUUUAAAAUUUAAGUUCUUUUCAUUAAAAGCCAACACUUUUGUUUUGCUGCACAUUUUAAUGGUAGGGCUCCUAUAAAUUUCAUUAGCUAUGACUUU